rnacentral:tRNA from 1 species
GUCGUUGUAGUAUAGUGGUAAGUAUUCCCGCCUGUCACUCGGGUGACCCGGGUUCUCGAUCCCGGCCAACGGCG